UCCUAGGACCAUACCACCCGGAAAGCCCCUGCCUCAGAGGCUAAGCAGGGCCGGGCCUGGUUAGGACUUGAAUGUGAGGUUAGGUGGAAUGCGCACUCUACUUAUGAACCGAAAGCCUCACAGGAAUGGUGAGAU
rnacentral:rRNA from 14 species